AAUGAACGCUGGCGGCAGGCCUAACACAUGCCAGUCGAGCGAGCAUUUCGGUGCUAGCGGCGGACGGGUGAGUAACGCGUGGGAACGUGCCCUUUUCUGCGGAAUAGUCCUGGGAAACUGGGGGUAAUACCGCAUACGCCCUUUUGGGGAAAGAUUUAUCGGAGAAGGAUCGGCCCGCGUUGGAUUAGGUAGUUGGUGGGGUAAUGGCCCACCAAGCCGACGAUCCAUAGCUGGUUUGAGAGGAUGAUCAGCCACACUGGGACUGAGACACGGCCCAGACUCCUACGGGAGGCAGCAGUGGGGAAUCUUAGGCAAUGGGGGCAACCCUGAUCUAGCCAUGCCGCGUGAGUGAUGAAGGCCUUAGGGUUGUAAAGCUCUUUCAGCUGGGAAGAUAAUGACGGUACCAGCAGAAGAAGCCCCGGCUAACUCCGUG
rnacentral:rRNA from 1 species